rnacentral:rRNA from 1 species
AUUGAACGCUGGCGGCAGGCCUAACACAUGCAAGUCGAACGCCCCGCAAGGGGAGUGGCAGACGGGUGAGUAACGCGUGGGAAUCUACCUAGUUCUACGGAACAACACAGGGAAACUUGUGCUAAUACCGUAUACGCCCUAAGGGGGAAAGAUUUAUCGGAAUUAGAUGAGCCCGCGUAAGAUUAGCUAGUUGGUGGGGUAAUGGCCUACCAAGGCGACGAUCUUUAGCUGGUCUGAGAGGAUGAUCAGCCACACUGGGACUGAGACACGGCCCAGACUCCUACGGGAGGCAGCAGUGGGGAAUAUUGGACAAUGGGCGAAAGCCUGAUCCAGCCAUGCCGCGUGAGUGAUGAAGGCCUUAGGGUUGUAAAGCUCUUUCAGUAGGGAAGAUAAUGACGGUACCUACAGAAGAAGCCCCGGCUAACUUCGUGCCAGCCGCCGCAGUAAUAC